AGAGCGCACGGCGGAUGCCUAGGCGCCAGGAGCCGAAGAAGGACGGGGCCAGCACCGAAAUGCCACGGGGAGCCGCAAGCAGGCGUCGAUCCGUGGAUGUCCGAAUGGGGCAACCCGCUGUCCGUAAUGGGGCAGCAUCCUUACCUGAAUCCAUAGGGUAAGGAAGGCAACCGGGGGAACUGAAACAUCUAAGUACCCCGAGGAAAAGAAAUCAACCGAGAUUCCCUAAGUAGCGGCGAGCGAACGGGGAAGAGCCCAAACCCAUGCAGCGUGAUAGCCCGCAAGCGUUGCUGUAUGGGGGUUGUACGGCUUAAGGGGAGCUGUUGCGGCAGCUCACAGGUAUGCUUGCAAUCUAGCAGAAGGGUCUGGAAAGUCCCGCCAAAGAGAGUGACAGCCUCGUAUGCGAAAGGUUGCGGCAGCCUGCUUAAGUCCGUGAGUAGCACGGGACACGUGGAAUCCUGUGUGAAUCUGGGGGGACCACCCUCCAAGGCUAAAUACUCCCUGGCGACCGAUAGCGCAUAGUACCGUGAGGGAAAGGUGAAAAGCACCCCGGGAGGGGAGUGAAAUAGAACCUGAAACCGUGCGCUUACAAGCAGUCGGAGGACGUUAAAGUCUGACGGCGUACUUUUUGUAGAACGGACCGGCGAGUUAUGGUAGGCAGCGAGGUUAAGCAUGUAAGAUGCGGAGCCGCAGGGAAACCGAGUCUGAAGAGGGCGCUAAGUUGCCUGCUGUAGACCCGAAACCGGGUGAUCUACCCAUGGCCAGGGUGAAGUUGAGGUAAAGCUCAAUGGAGGCCCGAACCCACUAACGUUGAAAAGUUAGGGGAUGAGCUGUGGGUAGGGGUGAAAAGCCAAUCGAACCCGGAGAUAGCUGGUUCUCCUCGAAAUAGCUUUAGGGCUAGCCUCAGUGAAGAGACUAGCGGAGGUAGAGCACUGAUCGAGCUAGGGGCCCCGAAAGGUUACCGAACUCUUUCAAACUCCGAAUGCCGCUAGUUGUUAACUGGGAGUCAGACUGCGGGGGAUAAGCUCCGUAGUCGAGAGGGAAAGAGCCCAGACCGACAGCUAAGGUCCCUAAGUGCGGACUAAGUGGAAAAGGAUGUGCAACUGCACAGACAACCAGGAUGUUGGCUUAGAAGCAGCCAUUCAUUUAAAGAGUGCGUAAUAGCUCACUGGUCAAGUGGUUGUGCGCCGAAAAUGUAACGGGGCUGAAGUCCGCCACCGAAGCUUCGGAUAUGUCGAUUAGCUUGUCUAGUCGAUGUAUGGUAGAGGAGCGUUCCAACAGCACUGAAGGUAGACUGUGAAGACUGCUGGAGCGGUUGGAAGUGAGAAUGCCGGUAUGAGUAGCGAAAAGGAGGGUGAGAAUCCCUCCCGCCGAAAGCCUAAGGAUUCCUGAGGAAGGCUCGUCCGCUCAGGGUAAGUCGGGACCUAAGGCGAGGCCGAAAGGCGUAGUCGAUGGACAACAGGUUGAAAUUCCUGUACCACCGAGCAUCGCUUGAGCGAAGUGGUGACGCAGAAGGGUAGGUCAUCACCCGGAUGGAUGUGGGUGUCCAAGCGUGUAGAGGGCAAGGCAGGCAAAUCCGCCUUGCGAAACCUUGAGGCGUGAUGGGGAGGCGAAAUUUAGUAGCCGAACUGACUGAUCCCAUGCUGCCGAGAAAAGCCGCUAGCGAGAUGCAAGGUGCCCGUACCGCAAACCGACACAGGUAGGCGAGGAGAGAAUCCUAAGGCGCGCGAGAGAACCCCUGUUAAGGAACUCGGCAAAAUGACUCCGUAACUUCGGGAGAAGGAGUGCCUAAGUAGUGUGAAGUUGAACAGAUGGAGCACGAACAGGCCGCAGAGAAAUGGCCCAAGCGACUGUUUACCAAAAACACAGGUCUCUGCUAAGUGGAAACACGAAGUAUAGGGGCUGACGCCUGCCCAAUGCCGGAAGGUUAAGGGGAGAGGUUAGCGCAAGCGAAGCUUCGAACCGAAGCCCCGGUCAAUGGCGGCCGUAACUAUAACGGUCCUAAGGUAGCGAAAUUCCUUGUCGGGUAAGUUCCGACCUGCACGAAAGGCGUAACGACUUGGGCGCUGUCUCGACGGGGGGCUCGGCGAAAUUGUAGUACCUGUGAAGAUGCAGGUUACCCGCGACAAGACGGAAAGACCCCGUGGAGCUUUACUGCAGCUUGGUAUUGAAUUUUGGUAUGGAAUGUAUAGGAUAGGUGGGAGACUUAGAAGCCGGGACGCUAGUUUCGGUGGAGUCGUCGGUGGAAUACCACUCUUUUCAUGCUAGAAUUCUAACUGGCGGCCCUGAAUCGGGUCACAGGACAGUAUCAGGCGGGCAGUUUGACUGGGGCGGUCGCCUCCUAAAAGGUAACGGAGGCGCCCAAAGGUUCCCUCGGUGCGGAUGGAAAUCGCACGAGAGAGUGUAAAGGCAGAAGGGAGCUUGACUGCGAGACGGACAUGUCGAGCAGGUACGAAAGUAGGGCUUAGUGAUCCGGUGGUUCUGAGUGGAAGGGCCAUCGCUCAACGGAUAAAAGCUACCCCGGGGAUAACAGGCUUAUCUCCCCCAAGAGUUCACAUCGACGGGGAGGUUUGGCACCUCGAUGUCGGCUCGUCGCAUCCUGGAGCUGGAGAAGGUUCCAAGGGUUGGGCUGUUCGCCCAUUAAAGCGGUACGCGAGCUGGGUUCAGAACGUCGUGAGACAGUUCGGUCCCUAUCUGUCGCGGGCGUAGGAGAUUUGAGAGGAUCUGUCCCUAGUACGAGAGGACCGGGAUGGACGCACCGCUGGCUUACCAGUUGUCCCGCCAGGGGCACGGCUGGCACCCCAAGUGCGGAGUGGAUAAGCGCUGAAAGCAUCUAAGCGCGAAGCCCACCUCAAGAUGAGAUCUCCCACAGCGUUAAGCUGGU
rnacentral:rRNA from 1 species